UAAAAUAACAACAGGGGUUCAAAUUAGCGGUGGUCCGAGGUCCGCGACCUUCCACUUUUGCAAGCGGACCUUCGUUUUGGUUACUAGCUACGCCCGACGGACCUUCGAUUUGAAAGAAAAUAAAAAAUAACUUCGCAGACCUUUUUAUCAAAAUUUCCAAAUAAACGAUCUCAAAAUAAAUUCUCAUCUUUAUUAUUCAUGACAGCAAUAUUAAUUUUAUCCAACCGCUAAUUUUAUACCGAAAAUCGUUAAAAAGUAAUUUGUAAAUCUGAGUGAAAUCGUAUCUGACUGACAACAUCAACAUAGAAAAACAAUGGAUGCCAUAUAUAAACCGGAAAUGAAGAUAAUUACAAUACCGGAUCAGUUUCCGGGACGGAUAAGGGUAAUUCCGGGUUUGCCGAUCAAAUACAAUAAAAAAAAUAAUGUCGGGCUUGAAGUUGUGACAAAAUACAUCUAAGAUUAUGAAAUAUAAUCACUAGAAUUGAAAACCAAAAGAUAUAUGGAAAAGAAAGAAAGACCAGAAAAUAUUUUAGGUUGAAACUCAAAAUUACUUAAUAAGUUUUUUAGUUGACAAAUUUCCAUGUCAACAUCCAAUACAAUGUGACAGCAUUUUUCUUUUAUCAUUAAUACAUGUGGAUAUGACAUGCAGAUGUUUUUAAAGUGUAAACAAAUUACUGCAAUUCCAAGGGGUAAUUUCUCCUCAAUUUUUAGGGGCCUGUAAAUAGCUGGAAGUUUCGUACUUUAUUAUCAAAAAUAGUGCAACUAGAUAUGAUACAAUGUAACAAAGUAACAAGCUCUAGUGGACUUUUAAAAUCGAGUUGAAGUAGUGUGAGCCCUGAGGUAAUGAUAUAAUUAGUAAUUAAUUACUAAUCUUGGUUACAACACACCUACCAACAGUGACACCCUACCAAAAAAAAAAAAAUAAAGAUAAUAUGAAUUCAUAAUAUACAAGACAAUUAUAUUUAUUAGUUUAUUGAACAUAUUAUACAACAGUGACACUGACAAUGUAACAAGAUAACCUAACACCAAAGGCACAAUAAUUUUGUAUCUUACUGUGUUAUAAAAUAUUUCAAGUAAAAGUAGGACCUGCAAUUUAGGUUGUGGACCUUUCAGUUUUGAGUGUCAAAGGUCCUGGACCUUCCAGUACCAAAUGUUAAUUUGAACCCCUGGUAACAAGUACAU
rnacentral:lncRNA from 1 species